rnacentral:rRNA from 1 species
UAUCUCUGUAGAGUCUGCAUAUCAAUAAGCGGAGGAAAAGAAACUAACUAGGAUUCCCUUAGUAACGGCGAGUGAAGCGGGAAGAGCUCAAAUUUGAAAUCUUCAAGGUUUUACCUUGACGAAUUGUAGUUUAAAGAAGUGUUUUCUGUUGGUGUUUUGGUAAAAGUUCUUUGGAAUAGGACAUCAUAGAGGGUGAGAAUCCCGUAUUUGACCAUUACUUCCAGCGUUGUGAUACACUUUCAAAGAGUCGGGUUGUUUGGGAAUGCAGUCCAAAAUGGGUGGUAAAUUUCAUCUAAGGCUAAAUAUUGGCGAGAGACCGAUAGCGAACAAGUACCGUGAGGGAAAGAUGAAAAGAACUUUGAAAAGAGAGUUAAACAGUACGUGAAAUUGUCAAAAGGGAAGCGUUUGACACCAGUGUUGUUUUUCCGAAAAUCAAUUACGAAUGGCUUGAUUCUGUGUUGUAUUGACCUUAUCAGCUUUCUUCGCACUUUUUUUCGAGUCUUUCUUAAUGCACUUUUCGGUUAACAAGUCAACAUCAAUUUCUUUUGUUGUAAAAGAGUAUUCGGAAGGUGGCUUUCUUUUCGGAGAAAGUGUUUAUAGCCCUAUACUUCUACAAUCGGAGAGAUUGAGGUCUGCAGCGUAGAUCCUUCGGGGUUAGAUACACUUGUGCUAAGUUGUAGCUUUUCAUAGACAACUUGUUGACUAUGUUUAGUCAUGCGGCUUACUCGCUUGUGCUAUUUUACCUACGCUUAGGAUGUUGAAGAUGUAGCACAUCAU